rnacentral:lncRNA from 1 species
UUUCUCCAAGUCAACGCACAUUGGUAUUCCCCAUUGAUCAGAACCACUCAUUAUGCAUACUAACUUUAAGUGAUUAGAUCCUAUGGCUGAGAUGGGCCCAUAUGUUAGUUUUUGUUUAAAGUGUUUUAUUUGUUUUAUUGAAUGCGCUUAUUAUCAACCGAGAGCACUUGGCUUAGUGGUUGGCGCAUGGGCAUGUGACCCUGGGGUCAGGUUUAACCCCUAGCGUCCCCUUUCCUUCUUCUUUUUUUCCUUUUCCCUUUUUAUUUUUUUAUUUUCCUUAUUUCUUUUUCUAUUUUAAUUUCUUUUCUUUUAUUGAUUAUUUAUUUUAAC